rnacentral:rRNA from 1 species
UGAGGAAUAUUGGUCAAUGGACGAGAGUCUGAACCAGCCAAGCAGCGUGCAGGAUGACGGCCCUAUGGGUUGUAAACUGCUUUUGUUUGGGAAUAAUCGACAUUACGUGUAAUGUUUUGCAUGUACCAUUCGAAUAAGGACCGGCUAAUUCCGUGCCAGCAGCCGCGGUAAUACGGAAGGUCCAGGCGUUAUCCGGAUUUAUUGGGUUUAAAGGGAGUGUAGGCGGUUGGUUAAGCGUGUUGUGAAAUGUAGAUGCUCAACAUCUGACUUGCAGCGCGAACUGGCUGACUUGAGUACACACAACGUAGGCGGAAUUCAUGGUGUAGCGGUGAAAUGCUUAGAUAUCAUGAAGAACUCCGAUUGCGAAGGCAGCUUACGGGAGUGUUACUGACGCUUAAGCUCGAAGGUGCGGGUAUCGAACAGG